AUACCUCACUCUUGAGUCUUUUAUUGGAUUUCAAGAUGUGGACUUUGGAGGUUUUUGCAGGCUAUCACUAGUCAGCUCCUCUUAAAUGUAUUAGCGGAACUCUAUGCAGUACCGGCUUCAGUUUGAUAAUCCUAUCUAUGCUGUCGCUGUGAACUGUGCUGUUUAGCUUAUAAUUGUCUUCGGACUGCCAUUUUGGCAUACUUUAA
rnacentral:misc_RNA from 1 species